rnacentral:lncRNA from 1 species
CCCUCCUCUGCCACCUCCUUUGGAAUCCUAGUUCCAGAUGUGACUCUCUCUGUUUCCUUUGGCUGGAAGUUUGCUGUUUUCCCAUAACCCAGUCGGGUUGCCUGUUAGAGAAACCAAAAAACUCCAACUUUCUGGGAAGACAUCUAAUUAAAUUCCCAAAGAGGGGAGAGGAAAGCCCCCCUCUGAAACAGACAGAUCCGACCUCAUCAUACAGAAUCAUCACAGAAGAGAAAGUGCUGGGGAUAAGCCUGCAGAGCCGGGGCUGGGACGGCAUGGACAAGUGUACCCAUUUCCUUCUUCUGGCCAGGUAUGAGGGAGCUUUGGACCAUCCAUCAGUUGUCAGGGACAUUGGGACGAAACCCUCUAAAGGUAAGGGAGACAGAUACAAUUUUUCAACCAGUUUGAUGGGUAGACUCAGCUGGCAGUGCCGCUCCCUCUCCUGAGACCAACAACAAGGAAUGCCUCCAGGGGAAGAGCACGUCUCGUCUCUGAGGAAUGAGGACUGUGUGGGCAGUGCCGAGCAGACUGGGAAGUAGGUGCCUGCAUGGACCCCAAAUAAGCGGGACAGCUUAGUGCUCAGAUAGAAAGUCCCCAAGAACAGGUGACCAGGAAAACUCCUGCUAUUAACAGUGGUCCCAGAGGGAGGACUGGGAGGGACCACUUAGCCAGGGAAGCUGCUCUGAUAUCAGAAAUAAGAUGGAACCAUGGCGUUCGCCCACUCUCUGCCUUUGGCUGGGAUGACACCGACACUUUGAGAUGGCCUGAGAAGAUGAAUAUUUCAUAGACAAACCUGUUCCCAGGCCAGAGUUCACUGAGUGUAGUCAAGGCCAACAAGCAGAUUUUGCACCUAAGCCAAGUCAAAUUGAUUCAUGGUGACUGCAGAAGCACCGAGUUCAACGGGAAUUUGAGCCUGGAUCUGAGGCAGAA